UACAGAGGUGGCAAGCGUUGUUCGGAAUUACUGGGCGUAAAGGGCGCGUAGGCGGCCAUCUAAGUCAGACGUGAAAUCCCCCGGCUUAACCUGGGAACUGCGUCUGAUACUGGGAGGCUUGAGUAUGGGAGAGGGAUGUAGAAUUCCAGGUGUAGCGGUGAAAUGCGUAGAUAUCUGGAGGAAUACCGGUGGCGAAGGCGGCAUCCUGGACCAUAACUGACGCUGAGGCGCGAAAGCUAGGGGAGCAAACGGGG
rnacentral:rRNA from 1 species